AAAACUUUCAACAACGGAUCUCUUGGUUCUGGCAUCGAUGAAGAACGCAGCGAAAUGCGAUAAGUAAUGUGAAUUGCAGAAUUCAGUGAAUCAUCGAAUCUUUGAACGCACAUUGCACCCUCUGGUAUUCCGGGGGGUAUGCCUGUUCGAGCGUCAUUGC
rnacentral:rRNA from 1 species